UGGGCGGAUAGCUCAGCUGGCUAGAGCGCCUGCCUUACAAGCAGGAGGUCGUAGGUUCAAAUCCUGCUCUGCCCAU
rnacentral:tRNA from 1 species